UGGGGAAUUUUGGACAAUGGGCGAAAGCCUGAUCCAGCAAUGCCGCGUGUGUGAAGAAGGCCUUCGGGUUGUAAAGCACUUUUGUCCGGAAAGAAAUCCUUGCUCUAAUACAGUCGGGGAUGGACGGUACCGGAAGAAUAAGCACCGGCUAACUACGUGCCAGCAGCCGCGGUAAUACGUAGGGUGCAAGCGUUAAUCGGAAUUACUGGGCGUAAAGCGUGCGCAGGCGGUUUGCUAAGACCGAUGUGAAAUCCCCGGGCUCAACCUGGGAACUGCAUUGGUGACUGGCAGGCUAGAGUAUGGCAGAGGGGGGUAGAAUUCCACGUGUAGCAGUGAAAUGCGUAGAGAUGUGGAGGAAUACCGAUGGCGAAGGCAGCCCCCUGGGCCAAUACUGACGCUCAUGCACGAAAGCGUGGGGAGCAAACAGGAUUAGAUACCCUGGUAGUCCACGCCCUAAACGAUGUCAACUAGUUGUUGGGGAUUCAUUUCCUUAGUAACGUAGCUAACGCGUGAAGUUGACCGCCUGGGGAGUACGGUCGCAAGAUUAAAACUCAAAGGAAUUGACGGGGUCAUAGCUGUUUCCU
rnacentral:rRNA from 1 species